GACGAACGCUGGCGGCGUGCUUAACACAUGCAAGUCGAACGGUAAGGCCCUUCGGGGUACACGAGUGGCGAACGGGUGAGUAACACGUGGGUGAUCUGCCCUGCACUUCGGGAUAAGCCUGGGAAACUGGGUCUAAUACCGGAUAGGACCCUGGGAUGCAUGUCCUGGGGUGGAAAGCUUUUGCGGUGUGGGAUGGGCCCGCGGCCUAUCAGCUUGUUGGUGGGGUGAUGGCCUACCAAGGCGACGACGGGUAGCCGGCCUGAGAGGGUGACCGGUCAAACUGGGACUGAGAUACGGCCCAGACUCCUACGGGAGGCAGCAGUGGGGAAUAUUGCACAGAGGGAGCAAGCCUGAUGCAGCGACGCCGCGUGAGGGAUGACGGCCUUCGGGUUGUAAACCUCUUUCAGCACCGACGAAGCGCAAGUGACGGUAGGUGCAGAAGAAGGACCGGCCAACUACGUGCCAGCCGCCGCCGUAA
rnacentral:rRNA from 1 species